rnacentral:lncRNA from 10 species
CGUGAAGGCUUGUUCCCCCAAAAUACACAUCUCAGAAAGCCCAUCAGGCCUGUCUGAAUCCCUGCCCUUUACCUAUAGUGCCUGUCUGCUUUCUAGAGUCAGCUGGCACCCAUGAGUCACCACAGAACCAUUCCAUACGAGCACUUGCUGUCAUUCUUAACAGUCUGAUGAUGCAGGCCCCUCAAGCAGCUAUGAAGCAGCAAGGAAGGAUCUAGGGCCAUGCCCAUCCCUUCCAGAGGACUGGCCCUUCUGAGUUCCCAUGCUUAGCCUUUAUACAGUAGUUUAUAUUGCAUAGGUCUACUGUUAAAACUGUGGAGAAAAAUUCAAUUAAGAUCAAAUAGAAACUGAUUUAAUCAAUAUAAACUUGAAUUAAAGGGCCAAACUCCUAGACCAAUUCUUGCCUACUCAUCAUUUCCAAUUUCUGUUUAUUGCAAUAGAGGCUGAUAUAAUGAUAACCACCUGGAAACAAUGAGAUUUUGAAGAUACUUACUUUGAAAUAUGCCUAAAACCUAUACAUUUGAAUGACUUGUACUCAAAAUAGUCAUCCUUGAUGGCUAGGUACUUAAUCCGAUUAUGUUUUCUCUACUUCACAC